rnacentral:rRNA from 1 species
CCCUUAGAUGUUCUGGGCCGCACGCGUGCUACACUGAGUAAUUCAAUGGGUAAGGGAACGCUAGAGCAUUACCUAAUCUUGAAAUUUGCUCGUGAUGGGGAUCGACGGUUGCAAUUUUCCGUCGUGAACGAGGAAUACCUUGUAGGCGCAUGUCAUCAUCAUGCGCCGAAUACGUCCCUGCCCUUUGUACACACCGCCCGUCGCUCCUACCGAUUGAGUGAUCCGGUGAGGCUCUGGGACCUGGACGGAAAGAGCGUUUCGCUUGUUCUGUUUGGGAAACUUGGUCGAACCUUAUCACUUAGAGGAAGGAGAAGUCGUAACA